rfam:Bombyx mori DNA, contig: Bm_scaf151_contig40211, strain: p50T/Dazao, build 2, whole genome shotgun sequence.
UUAGCUCAUAUUUGUAUGGAGUUGGAACGUUUGCCUACGUUUGCCGCUAGGGGCGCUGUUCCAACUGCAUACAAAAUUAGCUUA